ACACAUCAUUAGCAUUUCUAGCUAUGUAAGCUAGGUCCGACAUUCCCCAAGAUGGUGAAGCGAUGCGCCUAAGGUUUAUGUAAAUCAGACAGUAGGUAUCCUAAGAGUUUGUCUGGGAGAGUCGUGUUUCUCAUCCCUUCCCAAAGCCGAAAACACAACUGGAGCGGUGCCUACAAUGGAUAAAACGGUGUGGAAGGCCUCACUCCCAGCUGAAUGUCUCGAAAAUUAACAAGCAUACGUACGUCUGCUCAAAGCCUACCCCUGAGUAUCCCAACCCUGUAGUUGCUGUACAUGUGCUGAACCAGACUAGGGAGCAGCUCGGAGCCUGUCGAAAGCCACCCAAACAUCGAGUCCAGGGCAACCCCAACUCCCUGGAUGUCAACUGGAAAGAGAGCCUGAGGAGGAGCAGAUCACUGAGAAGGAGAAGAACUUAGAAGAGGAAAACAACAACAUGAAAUUGACAUUAAAAGAAACUGAAAUAGAAAGCCUUAAGGCACAAAUUGACACACUCAUAAAGAAAAGUCUGACACCUGAACUCCUUGAAAGCAGUAAAAUCCCCAAAAUGCUGGAAUACAGUACAGGCUUUACAUAUAAAUGCUUCAACCAACUGUGCACAAUAUUUGGUAUCCCAAAUGAUCCACAGACUGCUCAAGUAAAAAUACCCCUAACAUACAAACGCAAUGAUUGGAACGUUGCUGAGAUGCCCCUUCGUAGCCAGCUGCUGUUUGUUUCUGUUGACAUGAGCUAUGGAUCGUGCUAUAGAAAUAAAGAUUUCUGGAUACUAUAUGA